AUGUCCGGACUGGCCGCGAGCGCGCUGCCUCUCGCCGCAGGCCCGUCUCCGCUUCCGCGGUGCAGACUGACUCGACCCAGCGGCCUAACGAGGCCUCCACUACUCAAGGUUGCCGAGCUGCAACCAUGCCUUCUUCCCCGAUUUGCUUCGGCCAAGCGGCUGAAAUGUGCGGCUGCGUCGGGCAAUGGGCGUCAGGGACUUCGCGCCAGCCAAUACCGGUUUGAUGAUGAUGAGCCGCUGUGGCUUGCGGUGGUUAGAGAAUUCGCUGUGAGCGUGAGGAACUUGGUGGUUUUCUUGGCUGAGCAGCCAGGGCAAUUGAAGCACCUCGAAUGGCCGGGCUUCCGGAAUACAUUGAGGACGGCAGCACUUACUCUCAUACUCGUUGUGGUGUUCAUUGUUGCCUUGUCUUCCGUUGAUGCUGCCCUUUCAUACAUUUUGUCCUGGCUACUUCGGAAAUCUGCGUAG
rnacentral:rRNA from 1 species